AUUUACUAUAAAGAUAGGGGAAAUAAAUAUUAGAUUAGUGUAAAAAGUUAGUAUUGUAAGAUGUUGGAAAUCUAGUACUCGUCCCGGUACCGGAUCUUGUGAAUCCGCAACCUGCUUCAAUAUCGAUUGCUGUGGAUCCGGUACCGAUUGUUGCGAUUCCGCAACGGAAGCGACAAAUCGGAUUUUUACCAUAAACACGUCUCCUCAGCAAAAACUGAUACAAUCAUAAAAGUAAAAAAUAUGCAGGUAAAAUAAGAUUCAAUAAAUAAGAGAAGAUUACAUCUGACUCCUCUUCUGCAUAAAGUAGCUACAACCCGAGCCCUCUUUCUGAAUCUUUUCUACCUUCUCUCGUCUUUUAUAAACCUAAAAAAAAACUUCUCUC
rnacentral:lncRNA from 1 species